AUCAGUCUAUGGCCAUGCCACCCUGAACAAGCCCGAUCCCAUCUGAUCUCAGAAGCUAAGCAGGGUUGGGCCUGGUUAGUACUUAGAUGGG
rnacentral:miRNA from 1 species